UUAAUUGAAACCAAAAUUAGAGGUAUCUUAAUGUUAAUAAGAAAAUUGAAAAAUAUUCCAAUUAAA
rnacentral:tRNA from 1 species